CGUAGUGGGGAUAACCCGGCGAAAGCCGGACUAAUACCGCAUAUGCUCUACGGAGGAAAGUGGGGGACCCGCAAGGCCUCACGCCAUGGGAGCGGCGAUGUCCGAUUAGCUUGUUGGUGAGGUAAAGGCUUACCAAGGCGACGAUCGGUACUGGGUCUGAGAGGAUGAUCAGCCACACUGGGACUGAGACACGGCCCAGACUCCUACGGGAGGCAGCAGUGGGGAAUUUUGGACCAAUUGGGGGCAACCCUGAUCCAGCCAUGCCGCGUUGCGGGAAAGAAGGGGCUUUCGGGGUUGUAAAACCCGCUUUUUUGUCCCGGGGAAAGAAAAAGGGCACCCCC
rnacentral:rRNA from 1 species